AAGUAGAAUUGUUGAUGAUGUAGUCUGCUAUGAGAUGUUUCCAAGUUAUACGAAUUGGAUUCAUCAUGAAGAAAGAAGUGUAUCAACACCAGCAUCAGAAAUUAGGAAAUGAAGAUGUUGAGGUUGAUACUCAUGUUGUUGUUGAUGGUAUCCGUAUUAGGGACGAUCUUGGUGGUUUGUUGGGAAAUGAUUUUCCUAGUGAAGUUGAUAACAUGGAGAAUAUGCAGGAUGGAACGGGGGAUGUUAAUCUUAAUUUUAGAAAGUUGCAGAUAAUCUACUAAAGCACAUUGUGCUGUCAUGCAUAUUGAGAAAAAUGUCUGCGAAAAUAUACUUGGUACUCUUCUCGAGCUCGACAAAAAGUGAAAGGAUGGCGUUUGAAAGCAAGGCAAGACUUCAAAGAAAUGCGAAUUAGACCACAACUUCAUCCGAAAUUCGAUGCCGUCAAGAAUUUUCAUUAAUUUCUUAUCAUGUGUGUUUUAUCUACACGUCGUGUUAUCGUUUCGUUUUGUUAUCAUGUGCUUACUUAAUGUUUGUGGUUCUUGCAGGAAUAUGUAUGACAACCCACAACCUCCGGCAAAAAAGAAACUAUAUAGGCGACGCUAAGUUGAACUUUCUUACUUUAAAUUUGCAUAUUAUUAAUUGCAGGCUCAACUGGAAGCCUUAUAUUUAGAAGAGAAUGGUCCAGAUAGUGAUGUUUCAAUCUUGGAGGUCACUUCAUAUGACCAGCUGAAAGGAGACAAGUAUUCUAAAAUCACGGGAGCUGAGAAACCAGGUCGGAUUCGUUCUGUUGGUUCAGCAAUUAGAGGAACCAAGCUUAGGGGGGAUCUUCUUCAAAUGUUGGCCAAAACGACGAGGAAAAUGCUGCAUUAAGAGAUGGAAUUAAGAAACUGAAGGAGGAUCAGGUUGAUAUGAUGAACGACAUGAAAGAAGAACGUCUUCAUAUGGAGAAAACUGUAGAGCAUAUGAAAAAGGCUAACGAGGAAUCACCGAAAAAAAUAGAUGCCCUAUUGCUACUAUUUGCCGGUCGGAGCGACCUCCCACAUUCAGAGCCAUAGAAAUAUGAUCUUACUACACGAAUCUAAGGUUAAUUUCAUUGAAAGAUAUUAUGUUCUAGGCAAUGUUGGAAGAUGUAAGAUAGUUAACUUCGGAAGUAAGAAAUCCAUCUGUCAUAAUUGAAGUAUUUUGUUUUCGCAUAUUCACUUUAAAUUUCUGCUUGUAUCAGACUCUGAAUGGUUUAGUAUUAAGUUUUUAUUUGCUUUUGUUGAAUGUAAUCAAUCAGACAAUUUUAUUUGCUUUUAUUGAAUGUAAUCAAUCAGACAACCAUGUAGUACUUGUGUUUUUUUUCC